rnacentral:rRNA from 1 species
UACGAAGGGUGCAAACGUUGCUCGGAAUUAUUGGGCGUAAAGCGCACGUAGGCGGCUUGGCAAGUCGGAUGUGAAAUCCCUCGGCUCAACCAAGGAAGUGCAUCCGAAACUGCCGAGCUUGAGUACUUAAGAGGAUCGCGGAAUUCCCGGUGUAGAGGUGAAAUUCGUAGAUAUCGGGAGGAACACCGGUGGCGAAGGCGGCGACCUGGGUAGAUACUGACGCUGAGGUGCGAAAGCGUGGGGAGCAAACAGG